ACGUAGGAGGCAAGCGUUAUUCGGAUUUACUGGGCGUAAAGCGCGUGCAGGCGGUUUGGUAAGUUGGAUGUGAAAGACCCCGGCCUAAAUGGGAAAGGGCGUUUGAUACUACCAGACUAGAGGAUGGGCGAGGGAGGCGGAAUUUGAGGUGUAGUGGUGACAUGCUUAGCUAUGCGGCAGAACGCCAGGUGCGAAGGCGGCCUCCUGGGCUAUUACCGACGCUGAAUCACGUAAGCUUGGUGAUCGAACAG
rnacentral:rRNA from 1 species